rnacentral:lncRNA from 10 species
GGACAUUGCGCCUGCGCACCACGCGACGCCCGGGCCGGGGUCUAAUGGGCGGGGACGCCGCGCCUGCGCAAAGCGGACCCGCGGACCGUGGCGCUGGGUGGCCACGGAGGUCCCGCGCUCCCCGACCGAGAUAGGGCGGGCCCUAUUUCGGGGAGAUGUUGGGCACCAACUUUUUUUAAAGCCCCGUGGGUGGUUCUCCGGGAUCUCCCAGACCGAGAGGGCCUGAACGUCCAGACCUCAGGGAAUGGGGUCGAAGGGGCGGCGCUCGUCCGCGGAGGUGGGCGGGAGCGGCCCGGGGCCUCCGGCCUCUAGGGAGCGGGAGUGACCCUCGGUUUCUGGCCUCCGAGGGGCGGGAGCGAUCCUCAGCCAUGUCCCUAGCCUCUGGCUUCCGGCUGAUUUUUAAAUUUUUGGUAGAGGCGGGAAUCUUGCUCUGUUGCCCAGGCUGGUCUCGAACUUGUGGCCUCAAGCGAUCCUCCCUCCUCGGUCUCCCGAAGUGCGGGGAUUACAGACAGAGCCACUGCGCACGGCCGUGGUCAGCUUUGAAAGCUGGGUAGAUCCCUUUGGCUCAUACGCCUUUCUGCUAGCUUACCCUGAUUCUGCUUCUGGUUCAGAUAGUAUUUUAAUAUUUCUAGUGUGUCUUUUUGUAAGAUACCUGAAAUCUUUUUGUGGAAUGAAGUGGCAUGAAAAAUAAACCAAUAAUCAUUAGAACUGAAAUAAAAUCUGGCCUUUGUGAAACCCUGGAAAUACCACGACCCUCAACUAGAAACACCAAUACCAGCUCC